rnacentral:rRNA from 1 species
AUUGAACGCUGGCGGCAUGCUUUACACAUGCAAGUCGAACGGCAGCGCGGGCUUCGGCCUGGCGGCGAGUGGCGAACGGGUGAGUAAUACAUCGGAACGUGCCCAGUAGUGGGGGAUAGCUCGGCGAAAGCCGGAUUAAUACCGCAUACGACCUGAGGGUGAAAGCGGGGGAUCUUCGGACCUCGCGCUAUUGGAGCGGCCGAUGGCAGAUUAGCUAGUUGGUGGGGUAAAGGCCUACCAAGGCGACGAUCUGUAGCUGGUCUGAGAGGACGACCAGCCACAGUGGGACUGAGACACGGCCCAGACUCCUACGGGAGGCAGCAGUGGGGAAUUUUGGACAAUGGGCGAAAGCCUGAUCCAGCAAUGCCGCGUGUGUGAUGAAGGCCUUCGGGUUGUAAAGCACUUUUGGCGGGAACGAAAAGGACUGUGCCAAUACCACGGUUCGAUGACGGUACCCGCAGAAUAAGCACCGGCUAACUACGU